rnacentral:rRNA from 1 species
CGGCAACAGCUCAAAUUUGAAAUCUGGCCCCUCCGGGGUCCGAGUUGUAAUUUGGAGAGGAUGUUUCGGGCACGGUCCGGGCUUAAAUUUCUUGGAACAGAAUGUCACAGAGGGUGAGAAUCCCGUCUGGAGCUCGGACACGGCCUGUGUGAAACUCCUUCGACGAGUCGAGUUGUUUGGGAAUGCAGCUCUAAAUGGGUGGUAAAUUUCAUCUAAAGCUAAAUAUUGGCCAGAGACCGAUAGCGCACAAGUAGAGUGAUCGAAAGAUGAAAAGCACUUUGAAAAGAGAGUUAAACAGUACGUGAAAUUGUUGAAAGGGAAGCGCUGGCAACCAGACUUGCGCGUCGGGGUUCCCCCUUGCUUCUGCCUGGGUUACUCCCCGGCGUUCAGGCCAACAUCGGUUUCGGGGGUUGGUUAAAGGCCCUGGGAAUGUACCUACCCUCCGGGGUAGACUUAUAGCCCAGGGUGUCAUGCGACCUCCCGGGACCGAGGAACGCGCUUCGGCUCGGAUGUUGGCGUAAUGGUUGUCAGCGACCCGUCUUGAAACACGGACCAAGGAGUCUAACAUCUAUGCGAGUGUUAGGGUGUCAAACCCUUACGCGGAAUGAAAGUGAACGGAGGUAGGAAGCCCCUCAAAAAGGCUGCACUAUCGACCGAUCCUGAAGUUUACGGAUGGAUUUGAGUAAGAGCAUAGCUGUUGGGACCCGAAAGAUGGUGAACUAUGCCUGAAUAGGGUGAAGCCAGAGGAAACUCUGGUGGAGGCUCGCA